AUUGAACGCUGGCGGCAUGCCUUACACAUGCAAGUCGAACGGUAACAGGUCUUCGGAUGCUGACGGGUGGCGAACGGGUGAGUAAUACAUCGGAACGUGCCCGAUCGUGGGGGAUAACGAAGCGAAAGCUUUGCUAAUACCGCAUAAGAUCUACGGAUGAAAGCAGGGGACCGCAAGGCCUUGCGCGAACGGAGCGGCCGAUGGCAGAUUAGGUAGUUGGUGGGAUAAAAGCUUACCAAGCCGACGAUCUGUAGCUGGUCUGAGAGGACGACCACCCACACUGGGACGGAGACACGGCCCAGACUCCUACGGGAGGCAGCAGUGGGGAAUUUUGGACAAUGGCGCAAGCCUGAUCCAGCCAUGCCGCGUGCAGGAUGAAGGCCUUCGGGUUGUAAACUGCUUUUGUACGGAACGAAAAGACUCUGGUUAAUACCUGGGGUCCAUGACGGUACCGUAAGAAUAAGCACCGGCUAACUACGUGCCAGCCGCCGCCGUAAAAC
rnacentral:rRNA from 1 species